rnacentral:rRNA from 1 species
AUGUCACCUUUUGCUGCAAUGCGUCAUUAUCUCUCCACUAACAGUGCAAAAAGCACCUUCCUGUGUAAUUCUGGGUUGGUUGUCAAGGUAACCUCGUCCAAAUCGCCUACUGAACAAAAUCUUCCUGCUAGACAGAGUGAUAUAUCUGUGCUCCAGACACAAGUCCAAUCCCUAAUGGACGUCGUUUUGGAAACAAGAAUAGUGGUUGACAAAUGUCGUCAAGAUGUGAAUGGUUUUGAAACCAGACUAUCAGACAUUCGCUUCAUUGUUCAAGAGCAAUGGCGUAAAAAAGGUGAAGAUCGUGCUACUCCAUCAGAUUCUGCAGCCUGA